UUUAUGGAGAGUUUGAUCCUGGCUCAGGAUGAACGCUGGCGGCGUGCCUAAUACAUGCAAGUCGAGCGAACAGAUAAGGAGCUUGCUCCUUUGACGUUAGCGGCGGACGGGUGAGUAACACGUGGGUAACCUACCUAUAAG
rnacentral:rRNA from 1 species